rnacentral:rRNA from 1 species
CCUACUUUAGUCAUCAUUUAUUCAUAUUUGUCAAUGGACGCAAUUCUGAACCAGCCAUGCCGCGUGCAGGAUGACGGCUCUAUGAGUUGUAAACUGCUUUUGUACGAGGGUAAACCCCGAUACGUGUAUCGGGUUGAAAGUAUCGUACGAAUAAGGAUCGGCUAACUCCGUGCCAGCAGCCGCGGUAAUACGGAGGAUCCGAGCGUUAUCCGGAUUUAUUGGGUUUAAAGGGUGCGUAGGCGGUUUGAUAAGUUAGAGGUGAAAUGUCGGGGCUCAACCCCGAAACUGCCUCUAAUACUGUUGGACUAGAGAAUAGUUGCGGUAGGCGGAAUGUAUGGUGUAGCGGUGAAAUGCUUAGAGAUCAUACAGAACACCGAUUGCGAAGGCAGCUUACCAAACUAUAUCUGACGUUGAGGCACGAAAGCGUGGGUAGCAAACAGGAUUAGAUACCCUGGUAGUC